GUCGUGAGAUGUUGGGUUAAGUCCCGCAACGAGCGCAACCCCUAUCCCAUGUUGCCAGCGAGUAAAGUCGGGGACUCGUGGGAGACUGCCGGUGCCAAACCGGAGGAAGGUGGGGAUGACGUCAAGUCAUCAUGCCCCUUACGUCCAGGGCUGCACACAUGCUACAAUGGCCAGUACAAAGGGCUGCAAUCCCGCGAGGGGGAGCUAAUCCCAUAAAGCUGGUCUCAGUUCGGAUCGCAGUCUGCAACUCGACUGCGUGAAGUCGGAGUCGCUAGUAAUCGCAGAUCAGCAUUGCUGCGGUGAAUACGUUCCCGGGCCUUGUACACACCGCCCGUCACACCACGAAAGUUGGCAACACCCGAAGCCGGUGGCCCAACCCUUGGGAGGGAGCCGUCGAAGGUGGGGUUGGCGAUUGGGGUGAAGUCGUAACAAGGUAGCCGUACCGGAAGGUGCGGCUGGAUCACCUCCUUUCUAAGGAGCAAUUUGAUCUCGGACUCUCACAGUCCGAGAGCUCCUACGUCGAUCACUGGUUAUUCGGGCGUCCGGAUCCCUCGAUCCCAUGCCGGCGGUUCUUACGCCGGGGUGGCCGUAGAGCCCCGAACGUCCUUGACUCUCACUGUUCCGUUUUGAGGGAGCCGUCGGGUCGCGCCUUUCGUGCGCGGCUGCGGUUUCCCGCGGUGACCUGUCGGUAUUCGCGCGGGUCCCGCCGUUGGUCAGCGACCUCCAACCCCGUGCGCAUCCGUGCAUGCCGGGCGAGGCCGACCGCAACGUUCCUUGAGAAUUGCAGAGCGAGCACGAGCAUCUAAUACGAACAGUGCAAGAAGAGCUCCCAAGCUAUGAAGAGCCAACGGUGGAUGCCUUGGCGCCAGAUGCCGAUGAAGGACGUGGAUGGCUGCGAAAAGCCACGGGGAGCUGUCGAUCAAGCUUUGAUCCGUGGAUAU
rnacentral:sRNA from 1 species